AUAUUAUGCUACACAUCACGUCAUUCGAUCGGAAAGUAUAACAUAUCAACUAAACAACUACAGCCAGGCCCUGUAACUUAAUAUAUUUCAGAUGUGUAGUUCCUGUCUUAAAUCAUGUAUAGUUUUCUGUCAAGCAUUGUAUUCAGCAAGUUUUAGAUGCACCUUGAAAUUGCAUUGUCAGAAGGAAGCUGUAAUAUAUAGUUAAAACAGACAAACGUACUAGCAUAUAUCGUAAGCAGC
rnacentral:lncRNA from 1 species